CCUCCAAAUAAAAAACACAAAAGAGCAAAGACUCUGGAGAACAGCCAACAUGCCAGGAACGAAAGGUAAUAAGUCGGACAAGAAGUCAGCUACCAAGCAACCUCAGAGUCCUAAAGAACAGCCGAAAAAAGGUGAUCAGAAAGGAGAUGAUAACAAGAAGCAAGGAGGACAGCCGAAGGGAGAGAAGCAAUAACUUCCAGGCGUUUGUGAAGAUGGCUUUGGAGACGCUGCUGGGGUCCUGUCGUCGUAAACAUGGGGGUCCUCAGGGGAGACGGGGCUGAGCCAACCUUCCCUUCUCAAGCCGCUGUGCAGCCCUGCAAUACAACAUCUGCUUUCCCCCACAGAGAGGCACAAGGCAGACCUGAUUUCCAUCCAUCACCAUCUGCUCCUCUCAGCCUGUCUAACCCAAACUCUUCCUCACUGGAUGUGAAGAAACAGACUGGAUCAGACUAAUUCCUCCUUUAUGCAAAU